rnacentral:rRNA from 1 species
AUUGCCCUAGUAACGGCGAGUGAAGCGGCAACAGCUCAAAUUUGAAAUCUGGCCCCUGCGGGGUCCGAGUUGUAAUUUGCAGAGGAUGCUUCGGCGUCGGCCCCGGGCCAAGUCCCCUGGAACGGGGCGUCCUAGAGGGUGAGAGCCCCGUACUCACCCGGGUGUCUGGCGUCGUGUGAAGCUCCUUCGACGAGUCGAGUUGUUUGGGAAUGCAGCUCUAAGCGGGAGGUAAAUUUCUUCUAAAGCUAAAUACCGGCCAGAGACCGAUAGCGCACAAGUAGAGUGAUCGAAAGAUGAAAAGCACUUUGGAAAGAGAGUUAAAAAGCACGUGAAAUUGUUGAAAGGGAAGCUCUUGCCGCCAGACUUGCCGCGGUUGCUCAGCCGCCCCCCGGGGCGGUGUACUCUUCCGCCGGCAGGCCGGCGUCGGUUCGGGCGGCCGGAUAAAGGCCCUGGGAAUGUAGCAUCCCUCGGGGUGUGUUAUAGCCUGGGGUGAAAUGCGGCCAGCCCGGUCCGAGGAACGCGUUCGCGAGGACGCUGGCGUAAUGGCUGCAAGCGACCCGUCUUGAAACACGGACCAAGGAGUCUAACAUCUGUGCGAGUGUUUGGGCGUCAAACCCAUGCGCGUAAUGAAAGUGAACGGAGGUGGGAACCCCCUCGAGGGGCGCACCAUCGACCGAUCCUGAUGUCUUCGGAUGGAUUUGAGUAAGAGCAUAGCUGUUGGGACCCGAAAGAUGGUGAACUAUUCCCGGAUAGGGUGAAGCCAGAGGAAACUCUGGUGGAGGCUCGCAGCGGUUCUGACGUGCAAAUCGAUCGUCAAAUCUAGGAAUAGGGGCGAAAGACUAAU